rnacentral:rRNA from 1 species
UACGUAGGGACCGAGCGUUGUCCGGAAUCAUUGGGCGUAAAGAGCGUGUAGGCGGCCACUUAAGUCCUGCGUGAAAUCUUGCGGCUCAACCGCAAGCGGUCGUGGGAAACUGGGUGGCUAGAGUGCGGGAGAGGAGAGUGGAAUUCCUGGUGUAGCGGUGGAAUGCGCAGAUAUCAGGAGGAACACCCGUGGCGAAGGCGGCCCACUGGGCCGGUACUGACGCUGAGGCGCGAAGGCGUGGGGAGCGAACGGG